AACGAACGCUGGCGGCAGGCCUAACACAUGCGAGUCGAGCGAGAUCUUCGGGUCUAGCGGCGGACGGGUGAGUAACGCGGGGGAAUAUGCCCUUCUCUGCGGAAUAGCCUCGGGAAACUGAGCGUAAUACCGCAUACGCCCUUUGGGGGAAAGAUUUAUCGGAGAAGGAUUAGCCCGCGUUGGAUUAGGUAGUUGGUGGGGUAACGGCCUACCAAGCCGACGAUCCAUAGCUGGUUUGAGAGGAUGAUCAGCCACACUGGGACUGAGACACGGCCCAGACUCCUACGGGAGGCAGCAGUGGGGAAUCUUAGACAAUGGGGGCAACCCUGAUCUAGCCAUGCCGCGUGAGUGAUGAAGGCCUUAGGGUUGUAAAGCUCUUUCAGCUGGGAAGAUAAUGACGGUACCAGCAGAAGAAGCCCCGGCUAACUCCGUG
rnacentral:rRNA from 1 species